CAGGUUCCAGAGUUUUUUACAACAGCUGCAGCCCUUGCCAUACCCAAAGCCAUUUCAAAUGCUGGGUUGGCAGCUUCUCAAAUUGAUUACUAUGAAAACAAUGAAGCCUUUGCUGUUGUGGCUCUUGCAAACCAGAAACUGCUUGACCUCAAUCCAGAGAAGGUUAACGUGAACGGUGGAGCUGUAUCCUUGGGAUAUCCUUUGGGUUGCAGUGGAGCCCGUAUCUUAGUCGCACUUUUAGGCAUUUUGAAGCAGAGAAAUAGGAAAUACGGAGUUGGUGGUGUUUGCAACGGAGGUGGAGGUGCAUCCGCACUCGUUGUAGACCUUCUGCAAGCGGUUUUUAUGUUUAGGUAAGUCUCAUGCAUACUGAAAUAAUUAGUAAAUACAAAUUCCCAACCUGCAAAACUGCAAAAAUGAAUGAGGUUGGGAACUUUUAGAAUCUAAAUCAUAUCAUUAACCAUCUUGUCCACAGAUGUGAUUGUGAGCUCUUUAUUUACAAAUUCAAUAUUGUACGAUGUUGC